CAAAUUUUUUAAAAUUUAUAAUUUAUUUUAAAUCAAUGGAAUUCUAAACUUCUAACACUAUUUCUGCUAAUUUCUGCUAACUUUGUCAUCCUUCCAAAGGCAAAACAGAGAAACAAACUCUCUCUCUCUCUGCGUUAAUGGGGGAACCACAGUCAAAUUGUCCAUUGAAGCUCUACUCCUACUGGAGGAGUUCAUGCUCUUGCCGAGUUCGAAUUGCCCUCAAUCUCAAAGGACUUGACUAUGAGUAUAUACCAAUCAACGUUGUAAAAGGCGAACAAUUCAGUCCAGAGUUUAGGAAGUUGAAUCCUAUUGGUUAUGUGCCGGCGCUGGUGGAUGGGGACGUAGUAAUUUCCGACUCUUUUGCUAUAUUACUGUAUUUGGAUGAGAAGUACCCUCAACGUCCUUUGCUGCCUACUGAUAUUCGUAAAAAAGCCAUUAAUUACCAGGCUGCAAAUAUCGUUUCCUCAAGCAUACAACCUCUUCAAAAUAUGACAAUACUGAAGUACAUUGAAGAAAAAGUUAGUCCAGAUGAGAAGCUUCCUUGGGUCCAAUGUCAUAUUGGAAAGGGCUUUGAAUCACUUGAAAAGCUGCUCCAAGACUAUGCUGGAAGAUAUGCAACUGGGGAUGACGUUUUUCUGGCCGACUUAUUCCUAGCACCCCAGAUUUUUACAGCUAAAGGGUUCAAUGUUGACAUGGGAUGGAGAAUGCGCCACAACUGAAGAAUAAUGCCAAUAAACAGUAUCAAUCAUUAUAUGGGCACAGGGCAAUUUCUGUCACUGAAUCUGCAAGAAGAAUAUGGAAGCGCUGAAAAGCACUCUUUAAGUGGUUAUCUAAAUAUAUUUUCCAUGUGUUUCCUAUAAGAUUUGUCAAAAGCGUAUAUUUUUAGUUGCAAACAGAGUUAUUUUUCCUUUUCCUCUUUCUUUUUUGGUCAUCUGGGCUUUUAUCAGUUCUCCUCUGGUAAUUUCUGAUAUAUCCACUUCAGACCUGAGCCAUUAAACCAAAGAUUUCGUAAUUAAGCUUUUCCAUCUUCUUAAUCCUGUGCUUGGUCUAUCUUGUACUUCAGACGGUCUCAAAUAUAUGUAACCUUGAGCAUCAAUUUACCAUCAGAAUGUCAAUGGUCAGUGAUAUACUUCAUAGGUUCAGGAUCUGCAUGGAAAACUAUUUGGAUCACCAAAGAACUUGUCCCAUCCAUGUGUCUUUUGAAUCAGUUCCCUCUUUUGUCCAGGUUGGAUGAGGCUUACAGUCAGCUACCAGCAUUCCAUGAUGCUAUGCCAGAAAAGCAGCCCGAUGCUCCUUCCUCAAGCACAAGUUAAACAAAUGGGUUGAGCAGGUACAUCGAAACAUGCAGAGACCUACUAUUCUCUGUAUUAGACCAAAUAAAAUGCAGAAUAAUACAUUUCAAAGCAAAAUCUCUCUUCCAGUUUUCAUAAUUUGUCUAGUACCAUUGAAGUUCAGAUGCACUAUUCGUGGAGCUUUUAUGUUGAUUGGUGUAAGAAAUCUGAUAGAAGACAUUACUACCGUUCUGAUAAUUAUCAGAUCUCCACUUACAGUCUUAAGCAGCAUUGCCUCUUCUGAUGUUUGAGGUAAAGCAUCUAGAAGUGUACUUUGUAAUAAAAAAUCAUCCUACUUAAGAAACUGGAGGAGAAUAAUGUUUAAAGCACUACAUGUUAAAACUUGGUACAAAUAGAUGGUUUGGAUUGUCUGUGAAACGAGUGGUUAGGUGUUCUUGCAUAAUACAUUACUGAUGUUUUUUAAAUAUUUUGUUGGAAAUAAUGGAAAAUUCUAAUUUUCAUCAUCAUCAUCAUUAUAUUAUUAUUAUUAA